AACAUAUUAUGUACUGUCGGUCUACCGAGCAAAAUCACCCGCUCGGUGGAAGAUCUUUCCCAUAUCUC
rnacentral:pre_miRNA from 1 species